CAAAGUUACGCAUUGGCAUACUUGCACGUGAUCAACAUUUCCUUGAAAAUAAGUGGAAGGAGUAUAAACUACUGCGUAUUAGAUACCAUAAACUUAUCUAAAUAAUUACUCAAUUGUGGCGUCACCUUUGAUCAUCCUUUGUCUGCUGUAAUAUGGAAGGAGUAUAAAAUAUUACAUAUUGUAAACCUAAGCUAUCUAAAUAAAUACUCAAUUGCGCUGUCAACUUUGAUUAUAUCUUGUUUACUAUGCGGAUGACUGUCUUCUAUUCUGUAAAACUACUACUAUGUUCCUCGUAAAGUUUGCUUCUCUCUCAGGUCUGGAGUGCGCAAAUAUUUAAAGAAUAAAAGGCUUCCCUCCUUGCGGGCAUCACCUCGAGAGCACCAACGAUGAGGAUGCAUGAGAGUGUAAGGAUCUAUGAGCGAGCAAGGGAAGCCAAGCACCACUAGUACCACAGCAGGGAUGCGUGCGCGUAGGCCCCUAUGUGCAUGCACGCAGAUCCUGUUUUGCAUGCGCAUGGGGGCUGGUGCGUGCGCACGGGCUGCUCCAUCUCCCUUUGGUCGAUUUAUUAUAAAUAGCCUUGACUUUUCCUGUUUUAGGGGUUGGUGAUUUUAUAUGUACUUGAGACUUAUUUCCAGAAUUAGAAGAGAGAGAAACUUGAGAUUACUUGUUUUUUUUUUACACUUCAAUUUCAUCUUUGAUUUCAUCUUUGAUCUUGGAUUUCAUCUUCAAUGAAUGAAAGUUUGUGACAUUUUCUUCCUUUGAA